rnacentral:lncRNA from 1 species
UAUGUCCCCACCCAAAUCUCAUCUUGAGGUGUAGUUCUCAUAAUCUCCAUGUGUUGUGGGAGGGACACAGUGGGAGGUAAUUGAAUCAUGGGAUGGUUUCCCCCAUGCUGUUCUCAUGACAGUAAGUUCUCAUGAGAUCUGAUGGUUUUAUAAGGGGCUUCCCCCUUCACUGAACUCUCAUUCUUCUCUCUGCUGCUACCUUGUGAAGAAGGAUGUAUUUGCUUCUUCUUCUGCCAUGGCCGUAAGUUUCCUGAGGCCUUCCCAGCUGUGUGGAACUGAUUUCCACUGGUAGCGAGGAUCCUCUCUGGUGCUGAGGAUGUGGCCACGGGCGAGAGAGAAAGGGAGAGACACACACGGUGUCCGCAAGAUGAGUGAGGGAUACCCUGGGAGUUCAGCUGGAGCGGAGGGAAGGCACCAGGAUCUCAGCAGGGCCUGGCCUCCGGAAAGGACCCUGGUGAGAAGGCGGGCCCUGGGGAGACGUGGAGCGCCCAGCCCAGGGCGCGGGAGGUGAGUGCGGCCAGGGAGGGCCUUGUGUUGAAGGGGAGUGAGCCCGGGGAGCCAGCACCCCAGGGGACUGGAAAGGCAGGCCUGGGGAGGAGUCUGGACGCCCGUGCUUGGUAUUUGGGACCUGGGCAGGGCUUUGUGGAGGGCUGUCCGAGAAGGAGGUUGUGCGGGUCUAGGAUGAAAAGUAGCCGGGCAACAUGGCGAAACCCCAUCUCUACCAAAAAUACAAAAAUUAGCUGGGCGUGGUGGCG